GGAGCUUGUAGACGUUGAUGAUGAAAAGGAAAAGAUUUGGGCCAUCGCGAUGGUGUGAUACAAAUGAUGGAGAUCAUCACUUAGUGCCAUGUACAAGGCAUACGCAGUUACGCAGCAAUAAUGAAACACAAGUCAGAUGACCUUGACAUUGCUGAAUGGCACCACUACCUUAUCUUGUAUUUUGGAUCUCCAAAUUUCAAGGUCUCAUAGCAUUUCCUUUUCGUCCUUCCAUAUAUCACAUGUAUUUAUUACUAGUUCGAUCAAUGCACUACUAAUGUAUUUUUUUACUUACACCGCCC
rnacentral:lncRNA from 1 species